UUUCUACUUCCUCCGUCCGAAAAUACUUGUCAUCAAAAUGGAUAGAAAGGGAUGUAUCUAGAACUAAUAUGCAUCUAGAUACAUCCUCUUUUAUUCAUUUUGAUGACAAGUAUUUCUGGACGGAGAGAAUACUAA
rfam:Triticum aestivum genome assembly, contig: Triticum_aestivum_CS42_TGACv1_scaffold_131153_2BL